AUAAAGGGAUGGGAAUCGAACCCACAAUGUUCCGAUUACCGGGCAGAUGCCAUGUCCACUAGGCUACCCUGGA
rnacentral:tRNA from 1 species